rnacentral:sRNA from 1 species
UUUUUUUUGGCAGGAAAAUAGAUUUACAAGGGAUUUUAAAAAGGUUUAAAACAUUUACAAGGGAUUUUAAAAAGGUUUUAAAAGAUUUACAAGGAAUUUUAAAGGGCUUUAAAAGACUUACAAGAGUUUUUUAAAGAUUUUUAAAGGGUUUAAAAGUGUUUUAAAAUAUUUACAAGAGAUUUUUAAAGGGUUUUAAAAGAUGUACAAGAGUUUUUACAAGAUUUUAAAAGAAUUUAUAAGAAAACCCUUUAAAAACUCUUGUAAAUCUUUAUAAAACAUUUUGUAAAGGUUCACAAGAGUUUUAAAAUGGUUCAAAAAGAGUUGUAAAUAUUUUAAAUACUUACAAUUCUUUUUCUAAGAGUUAAAAAAUGCUUGUAAAGACUUUAUAAUAGUU